GUCGCACUCACAGUUGGUGCGCUUCUGCUGCCGAAAAUCCACGUCCUUCCUUUGGAGUCGAAGUGGAUGUGCGACAUUAGAAAGUCCCUCCGAUAGUUGACACGGAUCAUGAGGGUUUAAAACGCACCGCUGAACAGCUCUGUCUGUCUUGGGGAAAACCAUGGGAUCUCAGCGACUAUGGAGCGUGUUAUGUGUGAUGGCGGUGUGCUAUCAGACCGGGAUGUCAAGCAGAUACGGCUGUCUGUUUGAGAAGAAGCUCUGCCCCAGAGACCAACCAUGCUCAGAUGAUGGGCUGUUUGGCCAAUGUCUGCUGCCCCAGCAGGAGAGGGUUCUG